CAGUCUUUAUAAAAUAUUUCCCAUGAUUUAAUAAACUUAUUAGACCAAUAUAAAAAAAUGAAAUCUUCACUAUAUUUUAUAUGUAUGAUUAUUUGAAGACAUUUAUUAGUAGCAGAAAGUUCAAAGUGUUAUUUAUGUAUGGCACAAUUGUGAACAAAUGAAAUAAACAAAUUUUGUAAGUGAAUAAAAAACAAUAUUCUAUUCUUCUAAUCUAGCUUCUAAUCAGCUGGGGAAACAGCAUUGGAGCUGGAAAUUCAAAGAAGCUGUGUCUUAGAAAUACUUGUAUGUAUUUAUUUAUGUUUAGAAGCUUUUAAAUGGAUUUUAUCCUGUUUGUCUUAAAAAUCUCAAUUUAUUAUUCCAGCCUUUGACAUACGGCGCACUAUUACAGUCUCAUGAACUACAGUGAAGGUAAUAAUGCCAUUUACCUUUUAUAUCUGUGAUGAGCAUACGGCCAUCAAUGUCAUAUAAAUCCCAAAGGGAAUAAACUCUCAGAGGAUUUGAGCACCGGAGCCUGAGUGAGCAACAGAUGGCCUGUAAUAAUAAAAAGUACAUCAGGCAUCACGUGUGAAUCAAGUUCUCCACUUCUCGUUAACGCAAGACAUGUGUAAUUGAUUCCAGAUGGAUGGGCUGGCAGGGGACGAUGUCAAAUAAUGAGAGGUCAUGGUGAUCUGCACCCCUGGCCAAAGCCGCUGCCACACAUCUUCAGCAAAGCACUACAAUUUCAUGGUCCAUUGGGCUUUUCGGAUGGAGGGACAAAUUGGACACGCAGAAGGCUUCCAGUAAAUUGUUUGGGGUCUGGCCUGGUGUUAAUGUUAUUUCACGGCCCCUUGGGCCAGUUUGCAGAACAGUCUCUCCACAUCCUGAGCACUCGACUGAUUUUGUCCACUCUCCAACCUGUUCAGCCAGGAACUUCCAGUCACAGGCCAGAUUUAUGAAUCUGCUCUCGACAGGGGCUCGCCCCUCUGCAGCUGUAACAGGGGCCCAGGAGUGGCAGAUUGGUGAGCCUGGGAAUCAACCUUCUGAUCAGUAGUCCAACACCUUAACCACUGAGCUACCACUUCAACUGUCAAACAGUGACUGCUUUUAUUGUCUUUUGUGGGCAGCAUGCACUAGUGGAUUUACAGAUUUGCAAAGCAAGCUAACUGGACUAGAUACAGUAUGUCCACUCACCAAAGGAAUCAAUGAUCAGCUAUUUCCUUUCAAACCUUAUUUUUCUUCAUGGUGUCUCUAUACACAUUCGAGAGACUGUAUAUGCCAGGAUUUGAUGAAACCAUGGUUAUAGUUUUUCUUCCCCAUUUUUCUGUGUCACACAGUAAAUGUGAAGUAAUUGCACAUUGGAAAUAAAUGUUGUCAUUGGAGAAGUGAAGAAAUGUCAGACCACACGUGCCAGAGGUUUGGUGCAAGAAAUCAUGUCAAUUCAAUUUAAAUGCCACUUGUUGUUCUGCUACUUGCCACUGCUGCUGAAAUAAUUGUGCUAGACCAUUCACACAUGUAUUAAUGGCUGUCUGUUGCUUUAGUGGCAGAAAAACCCAUAGGCUAGGCAAUACUCAGAAAGACAAGAUGGUACACUAAUAAAGACCACAAAACUAAGACCAAUAAUAAAGGUAACAGAAGCUAGAACUCAUCACAGACACAAGGUUGGACUUGUAAACAAUUGAGACCAGUUAGUAAUCAGUUCACUGUAAGUGGGACAGGUGCUUGACUGGAGGUGAUAUCAUGGUCAGUAAACUGGUCAGCACUUUUUUAUGUUUCUAUCCUGUAGGGUAUUGUACAGCAUUGUCAGUCUGCAUUGUCUUUUUUCGUGCAGUGUUUGCACUAGGUUGCACACUAAGCAUGGUAUUUUGCUAGGACAACUUUUUAGACCUUAGCUCUGUGUUGUUUUAUGCAGCACCAUGGUCCUGGAGAAACGUUGUUUCAUUUCACUAUGUACUGUGUCAGAUAUAUAUGGUUGAAAUGGCAAUAAAAGCUUUUCGAUCUGCCUUGACUUGAUGUGAUAAGGUUGUGGACUAAGGAUCAUGGGAGCUGUAGCACUGCAUCUUUGAGAGUGGUUCAUAAAGUUAGAAUUCCAGGACAGACAGAAAGCCAUUGUUUAACAGAGUAUUAUUUAUGGGCAUUGACAAGUAAAGUAAUAAUAAAAUGUAAGCAAAAAUAAAAAGGAAAAUAAGAUGAAAAUAAUAAUAAUAAAUCCAGGAAAUAAAACUUGCUGACUCAGAUUAAUGUUGUGAAUUUGACAUGAUCCAUGGAACUGGUUUCUUUGUGGAGAAAAAUGAAUUAAGAAUUACAAACAUAAAUCCUAAAAGCUCUCAUCUACAAGUAGGGAUGAUCUGAUUUUCAGACAUCUGAAUCACAGGUGUAUAUCAGAUCUAAAUAACAAAUAGUCAAACUGCAUUUUUCCAGACCUGCCUCCUGUAGCGAUAUCAUUAACAUCAGAGCUAUUUACGAUGUCUUUCUUCAAUGGCACA